GCUGCCCUAACGCUGCUGGCUUUGGCACCACUCCAAAAUGUUGCCCUAGAAGCACCCUCUAUAAAACCUCAUAUCUCUGACCUGCACUCUCAUUGCCUCCCUUUUCCUUCUCCUCCUUUGCAGUAACCAAUAAGGUCUCUGGGUUUUGUGUAUUCUUUUUCAAAGCUUUUAAGUGCCUUCACUCCUCUCAUACGUUUUAUGAAAGUGCAAAAAACUUCCAUCCGCUUGUGAUAAAGACAAGUUGAGCAAAGCGGCCAUAUUUUGCACAGAUUGAGUAAACAAAGUAGUCAAUAUUCUACUUGUGCUUUUUUAUCUAAAUGGGUUUAUGUUGUCUUUCGGACAUAUAUGUAAACCUAUUUGUGAUUAUAGCAAACACCUGUUACAUUUCAUAUUUUAAUACCUUUUCUAUUGAACUCGUUGAAACUUUUGGGAGGGAGGCAGAUUCUAUUUUUGGAAGGUGGGACAAAGGGAAAAUUUGAUCUCCUUUUUUACAAAAGAGGGCUAUUUUACUCAAAUAACCUAAAAAUAAUUAAUUACAUAAAUAAUCCUAAUUAAAAAAUAAUCAUUUAAAUAACUUGAAAUGAUCAAUAAAUUGGGUUAUGGGAAUUAGAUAGUUGAUGUUAUUAUUUUUCUGUCAAAAAAUAAUUUUUAGAGUUUUGGACACUAGAUGGUUGAUAUUCAUGUGUUUUUUUUUUAAAUUUUAAGAGUUGACACAUUGAUGAUCGGCACUCCUUUAUCUAAUUAAAAAAAGCUUAUUUUUUUGAGGUGUUAGUGUCAACCAACAAAGGCCUAAACUCACUCAACAAAAGGGAUGAGAAUAUUGCAACAUUGCAAUAAUCUCAACUCUUUUGUUAGGUGAGUUUAGGCACCUUACACUCAAAAAUAUAAUUUUUUAAUCAGGUAAAGGGGUGUCGGCCAUUAGUGUAUCAACACCUAUUUUUUUUAAAUACAUGAGUAUCGGCUAUUUAGUAUUCAAAACCCUAAAAAUUAUUUUUAAUAAAAAGUGGUGUCAAUUAUUUAAUUCUCAUAAAAUAAUUUUACUGUUCAUUUUAAGUUAUUUAGGUGAUUAUUUUUGAAUCAGAGUCAUUUACUAAUUAAUUAUUUUUUUAACUAUUUGGGUAAAAGAACCGCAAAAGAGGAGUACUUCUCCUCUAAUUACUUAAAAGAUAAUAUUGCAAAAGAUUUUUUAUUGGAAGGGAUGCAUGGCAAGAAAGGAAAAUGGGUCCAACUUUUGUAAGCUUUAUUUUUAUAUUAAUGUUAAUGGUGUACAGUAGUCAGGGUUCAUCCUUAUCUCAUUACUAAAAUAGGUAAAAAGGUGUUAUGAUUUGUGUAUUUUUAACACUUCAAAUUUGGCUUUUACCAUAAUAAUUAUUUGAUACACUUUUACUAAAAUAUUUUAGACUUUAUAAAUAUUAAAUUUUUUAUUUUAUAAUAUAUUUGUCAAAUUUUUAUGAAAAAAAGUUAUUGGUAUAUCAUAUAAUUUUGAUAAAAAACAAAAAGUUGGAUGCAAGCACUUAACCAAAAAGCUUAUGAAAACAGAAUUGGAAAAACCUAUGGGCUUAAAUUAAUAAAAUAGAUUCUUACAAAUAAAUUGUAAAAUAAAUGUGCUUAAACAUUAAAAAAAAUAUGAAAGUAGAAAUUUUUUUAGUUUGAUUUUAAUAUUUCGAUUUUAUUAAUAUUUUAAUAUUUAAAUUAUACUCGUUUUCUAUAUAGGUAAUUAAAUGCUUUUCUUUAAUUUUUAAGUUCAAAUACCUAACUCUAGUUUUCUACCAAUAUGUGUUCAGGUCAGAUAUAUAAAUAAAAUAUUAUAAAUGUAAUUUUUUUAUCAAUCUCUUCAAUGGGUAUUUCCUUGUUGCUAAUAUUCAUUCCUUGGCUGAGAUUAGUAUUAUCAGCGGUACUUGAAUGGACUACUUUGGUUGAGUAACAAAAACAAGAACUAUUCAACACCGGAGAAGUAGUCGAAAAAUUUAUAGAUAUAGAAGAAAAUGCACUUCCGCACUAGUUAUUAUUUUGGAGAGAUAGAAAAUGUGGAACUCUAAAGCUGUAAAUGCAAGUUGGUAUUCUGGAACUCGGAUAAGCCAUGUAGAAGGUGAGUUCAUCGGAGUUGGAUAUAUCAAAGCUGGAAUUCGACUUAUACCCAAAUCGAGAGUGAUAUGGUCGAUAUCUAGGAUGUUUGCUCGAGUUGAGGGAUUCCUCGAUCUUGGCUUGAUUGAGGCUUCUCAACCUUUCCUUCUGUUCUAGCUCUUUCAGGGCCAAUUGAAGAGGGUCUUGGGAAAGACCCCUAGUAAAAAUUUGAGAA
rnacentral:lncRNA from 1 species